CAGCCUUGUAGCCCAGUGCCGGCCCAGGGAGCACUGCAGGGAGAGAGGUGCCCGGCGGGGGGACGCCCGGCUUAAGGACUUGAACACUACGGAAAGUCUCUGCUACAAAUGGGGAACUAUUCACCUAUUUUCCAAAGUUGGUUGAACCGAGUGAUAGUAACAGACUUGAGGCCAACCCUAAGCAAGUGACAGCUACAACGCAGCAAUGAAUGACCAGCACUGCCAAUCCAAUGUACUGUCCAGCCCAACUUGUGUACUAUACAUUUUGCCCACUGCGGCUAUCUUUCUUGCCGACACAUGAGCAGUUGCCAGCAAACCACUUUUCUCAUGACAGAUGUAUCGGGGAUCGGCAGGAGAUGUCUGAGGUCUAUGCUCAGGAAUACUCCAGAUACAAUGGUUAGGACAAAAUCUCACAAACAGGGCGGAUCGGCCUCCCAGGACUCACACCACACAGACCCAAUGGCUGCGGAUUCUGACUCAGUCUUGCAAUUAGACUCUUCAGUUCUCAUUUCCCAAACUGCCCGGGAAAUUCUAUCUGUACUUAUGCCACACAUUGAUAAAAAAAAAUUGGACAGAUUUAAAGAUUUGUUUCAAUCCACUCUAAGGGAAAAAGCUUCUAAUACUUCAAGAAUUUCAGAACUGGAACAAAGGAUGAGUGACGUUGAGGAUUCGGCCCUGGCCUUACAAUCCUCGGCUGACUCUUCCAUCACUAUGAUCAUGGAGCUCCAAGAAAAAUUGGAUGACCUUGAAAAUAGAAAUUGUACAAACAACUUGCGAUUUAUUGGCAUUCCCAAACAAGUGAAACCAUUAGUCUUGGGGGACUUUUUGUCAUCUAAAUUGACACAAGGCUUACACAUUUCUCACACAAUAGAGUUCCCUCAAAUUGAACGGGCACAUAGGAUAGGGAUAGAAAAGGAAGGCACUAACACCCGCCCCAGACCAGUGGUAGCCCGCUAUUUUGACUUUAGAACCAAAGAAAUGAUCUUGAGAGCAUACAAAAAACAGGGCCAAUUAGUCAGUGAUGAACAUCGUAUUUUAGUAUUCCAAGAUUUUUCACUGGCGGUAACUCAGAAGCGCAAAGCUUUUUCACCAGUUUGUAAGUUCUUGGUGGAAUCACAAAAAUGAUUUGCGCUUCUCUACCCUUCCAAAUUAAAGAUAAUGGGCGCACUAUAACAUUUGAUGACCCUGAUGAUGCUAGCAAACACUUUCUGUCUUUUUCUGCUUCAUCGAGCUCACCAGCUCCCUUUUCCACGAAAUCACCUAAUUGCUAAGGUGAAUUAUUACAGUCCCCUCAUGUAUUCUUAGAGUAACCUCCUCUAGCACCUAGAUAUUAUUGUCUACUAUUCGUUAAUAUCCCUCGAGGUCUAAAACUAUACCUCUUGUAUAUGUUCACUAUAAGAUUUGUGAGGAGGUGCUUGGUCGGCUCUAGUGAUCUCACUGGAGCCCACCAAGUAAAUUUUUAAAUUGGGAACAUUUCAGUUAGAAUGCAUAGAACGGUCUCAUAAUGUUUUUCCUUUAGUUACUUUUCCGUAAUAUGCCAUUACUAGGCCUUAUGGGAUUUUUUGUAACACAGUUUAUGUUUCUACAAAUAUGUUUAUUUUCUAUGUUCAUUCUAUGUAUUACAUGGAAAUGUCAGGUCGGCUUCGGCGGUCCCACUGAAGCCCACCAAGUUUUUCUAUGGUUUGGAAAAAAUGUGAAAAUGAUAUUUAAGCAUGUCAUCAUUAAUGUUC